rnacentral:tRNA from 1 species
UGCGGGAUGGAGCAGUGGUAGCUCGUCGGGCUCAUAACCCGAAGGUCAGAGGUUCGAGUCCUCUUCCCGCUA